rnacentral:rRNA from 1 species
UACGUAGGGGGCAAGCGUUGUCCGGAAUCAUUGGGCGUAAAGAGCGUGUAGGCGGCUUCGUCAGUCCGUUGUGAAAGUCCAGGGCUCAACCCUGGAAUGCCGAUGGAUACUGCGGAGCUAGAGUACGGAAGAGGCGAGUGGAAUUCCUGGUGUAGCGGUGAAAUGCGCAGAUAUCAGGAGGAACACCUAUGGCGAAGGCAGCUCGCUGGGACGUUACUGACGCUGAGACGCGAAGGCGUGGGGAGCAAACAGG